rnacentral:tRNA from 1 species
GUGGGUGUGCUGGAGUGGUUAUUGGGCAUGACUAGAAAUUAUGUGGGCUUUGCUUGCGCAGGUUUGAAUCUUGUUGCCUACG